UGAUCGUGUCAUUCAUAUCAAGAAUGACAAAUUAAAAAAAAAAAACACAUCAUAGUAAAAUUAAUACCUUCUCAGCUUCGCAUCGAAGCUAAAAACAAUGUGAUUGGAAAAUACCAUCAAAGAUUUAUUAUAUGAAGAAAAAUGAUCGUGUCAUUCAUAUGAAGAAUGACGAAUUUCAACUAGUACCACCUAAAUUCAUAUAAAUAAAAAAAUUUCACAUGGGUACCACAUCUCCUCCAGUAUCAAUAAGGUCAACACCAAAAGAAAAAUAUUCAUAAAAAAACAAUGUGAUUGGAAAAUACCAUCAAAGAUUUAUUAUAUGAAGAAAAAUGAUCGUGUCAUUCAUAUCAAGAAUGACAAAUUUCAACUAGUAUCACCUAACUUCAUAUAAAUAAAAAAAUUUCACAUGGGUACCACAUCUCCUCCAGUAUCAAUAAGGUCAACACCAAAAGAAAAAUAUUCAUAAAAAAACAAUGAGAUUAGAAAAUACUAUCAAAGAUUUAUUAUAUGAAUAAAAAUGAUCGUGUCAUUCAUAUUAAGAAUGACAAUUUUCAACUAGAACCACCUAAAUUCAAAACACACAAACAAAUUCCACAUGGGUACCACAUCUCCUCCAGUAUCAAAAAGGUCAACACCAAAAGAAAAAUAUUCUUAAAAAAACAAUGUGAUUGGAAAAUACCAUCAAAGAUUUAUUAUAUGAAUAAAAAUGAUUGUGUCAUUCAUAUUAAGAAUGACAAUUUUCAACUAGAACCACCUAAAUUCAAAA